rnacentral:rRNA from 1 species
UACAGGGGGUGCAAACGUUGCUCGGAAUUAUUGGGCGUAAAGCGCGCGUAGGCGGCUACUUAAGUCGGAUGUGAAAGCCCCCGGCUCAACUGGGGAGGGUCACUCGAUACUGAUCGACUCGAAGGCAGGAGAGGGAAGUGGAAUUCCCGGUGUAGUGGUGAAAUGCGUAGAUAUCGGGAGGAACACCAGUGGCGAAGGCGACUUUCUGGCCUGUUCUUGACGCUGAGGCGCGAAAGCUAGGGUAGCAAACGGG